rnacentral:SRP_RNA from 1 species
GCCGGGCGUGGUGGCUCACGCCUGUAAUCCCAGCACUUUGGGAGGCCGAGGCGGGUGGAUCACUUGAGGUCAGGAGUUCAGGACCGGCCUGGCCAACAUGGUGAAACCCCAUCUCUA